AAUGCGAAAUCAUUCCUCUCCGUGCCUUGCCACUCUUCCUCACACAAACAACUCUCUAAGUGCCUUAUUCUCUCCGAGAAGUGAUAACCACACACCAAUCUUCUUUUUCUCGAUCUCGCUCUCGCUUUCACAUCUCCAUCAUUUCAUGUUCUUCAUCGCUCAAAUCUCUUCCCAGAUUUCAUCUCAAUCUUAAUCGCGCUCUGAAUCCUUUUCUCGGACAAGCUUGUGUUGAUUUUGAUUGAAAUCUCAACGGCGCUUUAGUAAUCAGUCGUGGAAUCCGCCAACAGAGUUAAACACAUUGAGUUCAUAAAGGCCUGGCACAUCUUGUAAUGUACAUCACUGUAAUAGCUUAUUUUCUCAUGGCAAGAACAUAAGAUAAUUUAUAUUUUAUUUGUGCUUGUUAAUAGUUUGGACCAUAUGCUUGGAAAACAUAUAAGGAAGUGUACGAUGAAGUUCUCCAAAUUGGUAAUUAUGAAAAUAUUCAUAUCAAUAACCAUGGAGAUAGAAACAAAAGGAAGCGGUGAUGAGAUGAAUAAUUCACCAUGUUCCACACUUGAUUUAUAUAGGUUAUUGAAGAGAUUCAUAUAAGAGGUAUGUGUUAAAUGUAUGGUGGGGUGUUGAUUUCUAAUGAUGCAUGUGGGUAUGCAAUAAGUCAUAAAGCGAUUCUUGGACCAAUUGCCAGUGUGGAAUUAUGAUUCUGAUGAGAAUGUUGAGAGUGGUAGUAAGGCUAUGGUGGUGGAAGAGAGUGGGAAUCAUAGCGGCAGAGGGAAUGGGAAUUUGAGCUUGAGUGGCGGUGUCAAUGGUGGAGAUCAGAAAGGGAAGAAGAAAGGGAUGCCGGUGAAGAAUCUCAUGGCCGAGAGGUGGCACAGGAAGAAGCUUAAUGAUAGGUUGUACAUGUUUAGGUCUAUUGUGCCAAAGAUUAGCAAGAUGGAUAGGGCUUCGAUACUUGGGGAUGCAAUCAACUGCUUGAGGGAGUUACUGCAGCAGAUUAAUGAUCUUCACAAUGAACUGGAGUCAACUCCACCUGGUUCUUCGCUGCAAUCUUCCACCACCAUCCUUCAAACUUUAACACCCACGCCGCAAACCCUUCCAUGCCAGGGGAAGGAGGAACUGUAUCCUGGUGUCUUGCCAUGCCCCAACACCAACUUGCAAAGGUGUGGUGCUAGAUAGUCUGUAGAUCUAAGUUCAUCAAAUGAAGAAGCACUUGAUGGAAUACUUGGAUUUGGAAAAGCUAAUUCUUCAUUGAUUUCACAACUUACUUCUUCUGGAAAAGUAAAAAAGAUGUUUGCUCAUUGUUUAAAUGGAGUAAAUGGAGGUGGCAUUUUUGCAAUAUAUUUUUAUCAGUUUACUUUUCUGAAAUCAUUUAGUAUGUAUCGAUGGGGUGCUUCAGUAACUAGUCACGUCUCUUAGUGUACCAAAUGACUUCUAGUAUCUCUCCAUUCAGUUUUGUAACUGCUAUUUGUUUCGAUGUUGCAGUGUUGAUGAUGGAUUUCCACUUGUCACUUUCUAUUUUGAAAUGGACUCUCUUUGAAGGUUUAUCCACAUGAUUAUCUAUUUGCUUCUAUAAGUACACAACAAACUCAUGCUUUAUCUUUGUCAUUUACUUUUCAAGUGUGGCAUAAGCUUUCUGUUUGAGACUGCAGUUCCAGUAUAACAUUAAUUUGAAAAAAUUUACUAGCAUAGAUGAUGAGGGAAAGAAAUUAGAUAUGUUUAUGAAAUAAAAACAACUUAUUAAAAUGUAAUGUAAUAAGAGAUAUCUUAGUAUUCUUUUAAAAAUGAGCAACUAUAUCAAUGACAACAUGGACACUUGCAAAAAGUACGGCUUGCAUCAAUCUUCUUUUCUCAUAUUUUCCAAUUUCAUUCCAUUUGAAAGCGUGCAAAGCAUCACAUGUAGUGCCUCUUAAUCGUUAUGUAUAAUACUUAUAUAAGUUAAAUACUAAUAUAGCCUGUCUGCAUAGGGUAACUUCUGGUGCAUUGGUUGGAAAAAUAGUGGGACUCAGUCCAAAAAUAAGAAGAAUAUGACUUUACUGAUUUGGUGUUUUCAAAUAAACUUGUCUUUUACAACCUUGAAAGUCAAGAUAUUGGGUGGACCGAGUACAAUUGUUCUUCAAGCAUUAAAGUGAGGGAUGAGCGAAUUGGCACAGUUCUUUUAGUUGGCCUUGUAUCUAUACAAAAGCAUUAAAGUGAGGGAUGGUCUACUUUUAAUACUGAUAUAUAGGAUUCUAUCUACACAAAAGCGACUUGCAAGUCAUUAUUUUUGGCCUUGUAUCUUUUUUAAGAGAAAUUUGUGUAUAAAUAUUUUAAAUUUAAUGAAAUAUUUCAUUUUGUAGUAA